rnacentral:rRNA from 1 species
GACGAACGCUGGCGGCGUGCUUAACACAUGCAAGUCGAACGAUGAAGCCUUUCGGGGUGGAUUAGUGGCGAACGGGUGAGUAACACGUGGGCAAUCUGCCCUUCACUCUGGGACAAGCCCUGGAAACGGGGUCUAAUACCGGAUAACACUCUGUCCCGCAUGGGACGGGGUUAAAAGCUCCGGCGGUGAAGGAUGAGCCCGCGGCCUAUCAGCUUGUUGGCGGGGUGAUGGCCUACCAAGGCGACGACGGGUAGCCGGCCUGAGAGGGCGACCGGCCACACUGGGACUGAGACACGGCCCAGACUCCUACGGGAGGCAGCAGUGGGGAAUAUUGCACAAUGGGCGAAAGCCUGAUGCAGCGACGCCGCGUGAGGGAUGACGGCCU